ACGAAGGCUCUUGAUGGCACGAGAGUAAAUGGUAGAAGAGUAAGAGUAGAAAUGUCAUCAGGGAAAUCUCGCUGGGGCAAAGACGGUCCUCCUAAACGUGGAGGAGGGUAUAGGGAUGACUGGAGACAAGGUGGUGGCAGAGGAGGUGGUUAUAGUGGAAGAGGUCGUUCAAGGGCCUCUCUCUUUGUCUUCAAACAAGUCAUCAGGCAUCACAUCAAAACACAACUUCCUCACGUCUCAACGUUGACAUCCUAUCAACCGUAGCUCUGGGUCAACGCUAUCAACAAGACCAUGUAACAACUGACUCCUCAGCCAACGCUUUUUCAGCAAAGUUUGAUUGACAGAUACCAAAUCUGUCAAUCAUCUCUAAUAACAACAAGCACCUCUAAUAUGGGCUCUCAGCUUCAUCUCUUGACCACACCCAGCUUAAGCAUGGGUUAAAACAUGGACAAAUUGUCACCCCAUCUGACAUUAUCAUCAUGGAUUAGGGUACCAGUUCAUAUCUCCUUCUCCAAGACGCAGGGGAUCACCAUCACCAAGGAGACGAGGACACAGUGAUAGUCGCAGCAGGUCAAAUUCACCUUACAGAAGAAGGUCAAGGUCACCAGUGGACAGAAGAAAGGACUGGUGAAGAUCAUAAACAGUAAUUUAGUUUGACAGUCAACUGAUAAAGACAGAUUGCUGUUAUCAUUUUAGUCAGAAUAUAUGAUAUUUUAAUGUUCGCAUCUAAAUUGAAACCUCAGAGAUGUUGAAUUGUUCCAGUUUUUUUUUUUCUCAAGAAACCUGUAAAAGAACAUUUCUAUUUCAAGAAUGUUAUGGAAUUACUUUCUUACUGGACUUCAACUUAUCUUUCAAGAAGUUUUUUUUAUUAUCUUUAUUUUUUAUAUGAAAAAGAAGUAAAAUAAAAAUGGCCUCACCAUGGGGCCAAACUUAAG